rnacentral:rRNA from 1 species
UACGAAGGGUGCAAGCGUUACUCGGAAUUACUGGGCGUAAAGCGUGCGUAGGUGGUUUGUUAAGUCUAUUGUGAAAGCCCCGGGCUCAACCUGGGAAUGGCAAUGGAUACUGGCAAGCUAGAGUGCGGUAGAGGGUAGUGGAAUUCCCGGUGUAGCGGUGAAAUGCGUAGAGAUCGGGAGGAACACCAGUGGCGAAGGCGGCUACCUGGACCAGCACUGACACUGAGGCACGAAAGCGUGGGGAGCAAACAGG